CUUUCUGUUAUCUAUCUUUUUAUUUUAUCCGGAUCUGCCUAUCUAAUUCUCAAUUUAAUCACUAUCGUAACGUCACUCGGAGAUGAUGCAAAGGAUUGCAAGCCGUCUAAUUCAGUAUCGAGCAUCGACUCGCGCCGCUCAUUCGAUUGCUGAUAAGGGAAUCUUCUAUAGGGUCGUGCUAGAUCCUCCAUGUGGGUUUAGACCUUAUGAGCGUGAAGACAGGGAAAGCUGGUACAAGUCUACUUUGGAGGCAUGCAAAAUUGAUCAAAAUAAAAUCAAGACUACUUAUAGAGAUCAUGAGUAUGUGUUUAAAGGCUACCUGGUGAAAACUCAAGUAAAAAAACUACCAGUUAUGGAGGGAUUCAUUGCUAUGAAACGUGUCGACCUUGAUAAAUAAUAACUGUGUCUAAAGACUACCUGGUGAAAGAUCAAGCAAAAAGACUACCAGCUAUGGAGGGAUUUACUUCUAUGAAAUGUAUCGACCUUGAUAAGUAAUAACUCUUU